GUGUGUACUUAAUCCCUCCCUCUUCUUUUCUGUUUCUAUUGCCUGGAACUCACACAUUAUGGCUGAAGUGCUAUUGGACAUUUUAGACCACAAUGACAGAGGAGAGGAAUCAGAAGUCUCAGUCCUGGAUGUAGGUUGGAGGCAAUGAGC
rnacentral:lncRNA from 1 species